GGCGGAUGCUCUACAAGAUUCUACCCAUUUUUAAGUCCUACAAGGUAUGUAUGCGUACUUGUCUCGGUCUUACACAUAAGGGCAUAAAUGAUCUCAAGAUCACACAUCUUAAAAGUGGCAGAGCUUGGAUCUGAAUACGCGCUGGUAUAUCUUCAAAGUCACGAGGUUUUCCAACAUCCGUUGCCGUUGGUAACAGUGGAGAGAGGAGGUGAAUGAUGCACGGAUAUAUGAAGUCACCUCUUUCUGGCCCAGGAACUGGAAUUUAUAGUCCUACAGGCUCAGUCUUCACAUCAAAUAUUUUAUUGAAUUGGAUUUAAACCUCUUCACUGUCUCGUGAACCUGAUGAGGUAAGACCUAGUAAAUGCUUCGUGUUGGCUUUUGUCCCAGCGCAGUGGAUACGAGCACUUUACAGUGAUAAUUUCCUCCUAAUUGGUUGUAACGAAUGCACUGCCAUUCUGGAAUUUGUCACUUACCGAAAUGGACCCUAGCAAAUGGAGCAUGUUCUCCAUCUAAAUGUAAAUUCACACACACUAAAAAACAGCCUGGUGGAGACGCCAGCGAGGUAAAGGGAAAAGGUGACCCCGAAGGACACGCCUGAGUGGGCAGGAGGUGACCUAGUGAGAAGGCCACCUCGCGCUAAAUCCUGUUUGGUUGAGGGAGGAUGGCCAAAAAAGCAGGACUCUAGAAUCCUCUGCGAGAAGUCGGUCUGUGUCUCCCGGGUUAGUCUUUCCUCUUCGUAGAUCUGUUUUCUCCUAAGUGGAAUGCGGAGGCUCGGUCGGGUCUGCGGUUUCCAUGGCGAAUAGUAUUCAAACCACUGGGAGUGAGGGUCCCCCAGGGUGCCUCCAGCCGCCACAUGCUGAGAUCGCACGGCUCCUCCCUGUCUCCAGUGGCCCCAGAUGCACCUGCUCUGAGGGAGUUAUUAUUUCCACGGAGGGCAUGCUUCAUGUCCUUUGACAGACCACUGUCCCUGCGGGGUCUAAUGCCUCCCCUGCUGACGCGCGGUCUUCCACUCUGUCCACCCUGUGCCCUUGAAAGGGCCUAUCUGCGAGCCUGUCACAGGCCACCCCCAGCAGCCAUCACAGUGCCCGCGGACCGCAGCUCAUCACCAGCACUCGUGGAAGACAGAAAUGAGCUAACUAGACAGCUGUAGCCACCAUCCUGUAAGCGCUCCUGUUGAAAGAUAUAUCUCGUUUUCCUGCCCAUGACUGAACAGCGCAAGUUCCGCCAGUCUACAUCUUUGAAGAGGGAGGGAGGGCAAUGGGAACGCCAUCUUGUUUUUGUGCGUCUGCGCCCAUUCAUCUCCAGUCUCUGUGUCACUAUUGUUACGUUUCCAGAACAUUCUUUACUUAGUCAUUAAAAAAAAUGGAGGCGUGUGAUUUUCCAUGAUUUUGUACACCUUCAAUGCGCUAUUUAUCAUCUGUGCAGAUAUGUUCUAUUGAUCAGUAGUAUUCGAAACCCACCACCAUGCCUUUUUGGCAACACGAUUUGAUUUAUCUCUCGUACUUUGGCACGGCUCCGUCUCGAUGGAGUCCCUUUGUUUCGACGCCAUGCUGCUUUGCUUCAGCAUCCACAGAACUUUCUCGUUGUUUCAUCUGGCCGAAACAGAGGGUAGGUCUUCAUGUGCUCUUGAUCUGGGCUUCACAGGCUUUCUCUGGGGAGUGGAUUUUGGGAAGGAAAAAAAAAAAAGAAAAAAGGUUUAAUGGUGGGAAGUGAGCCUGCAAAUGUGGGUGUAUAAAGCCCAUCCUUCGAGAAAUGGGCAAGGUCAUGGAUGCAGGACAAACCUAAGUGCAAAAUGACUGUGGUGAAUGAGUGUGUGUGUGUGUGUGUGUGUGUGCAUGCACGUGUACAUGCACACAUGUGCACACUGGUAAACGUUUAUUUCCUUAGCUCUCGUUUUGCAUUUCCCGACAGUGGCUGUUGUGAGGGGGAAGGAGAUCACCUGUAAAGCAGUCGUGGGCUGUUGGCCACAUGUCGGGGCUCAGGAAACAUCGGCUGGUAUCUUGAAGCUUCUCCUUGUUCUUUGGAGUGGUGCUGAUAGUUCCAAACAGCCGCAUCCUAUGUAGGGUGUCUGUGACCCUUCUUUCUUGGUGCCUUGUGCCUUUAAAAGGGCAUUUCCUGUCCACAAAAGCACAGAAGCCCAUGGAACCCAA
ensembl:lncRNA